UACGUAGGGUGCGAGCGUUGUCCGGAAUUACUGGGCGUAAAGAGCUCGUAGGUGGUUUGUCGCGUUGUUCGUGAAAACUCACAGCUCAACUGUGGGCGUGCGGGCGAUACGGGCAGACUGGAGUACUGCAGGGGAGACUGGAAUUCUUGGUGUAGCGGUGGAAUGCGCAGAUAUCAGGAGGAACACCGGUGGCGAAGGCGGGUCUCUGGGCAGUAACUGACGCUGAGGAGCGAAAGCGUGGGGAGCGAACAGG
rnacentral:rRNA from 1 species